CCCAUUUCACAGAUGAGGAAACGAAGUUCAUGGAAGUUGAAUUACGUGCCCAAGGUCUCACAGCUAAUAACAAGGAGUUCUAUAUUAAAACCGAAAUUUUCAGGGUCUGAGUGGGUAUUUUUUUCUUUAUAAUUCAUGACUUUCCUAUGAGUAACCCAGGUGAGCUGAUGUGUGACUCUUCCAUCUGUAAAUUUUUGUGAUCAGUCCUAGCUCAGGCUAACGUGUCUUUACAUUUAAAUUAGCCUGAGCUAGGACUUACCAUAAAAAUUUAGAAAAAUCAAAGCCACCACCCAAAUCCAGGAUAUGCCUGUGGAAAUGAAAAUAGCCCAGAGGUUGGGUUCUGACAAAGUUGGGAGGAGGGGGCAAGAGAAUGGGUACAGGAGGAUGCGGCAUUUGCUUGUUUAGACAAAAUGCUUUUAGAGCCUCUGAGCUGGCAGGAUCCCAAACACAAAGGAGCAGAAGUAUCAGCGAGUGAGAUUGAGUCAUUGCUCCUUCCAACCCCACUUCCACCACCUUGGAGGUCAGUGAGCAGAGCAUCUGACUGCAUUUGGGAAUGAAAUUUAAAGGACUUUGUUUUUCGAUUCAUCUGUGAAUUCUAGUCAGUUACAUUUCAGAUAGCAUUUUUGUUCUGUUAUCCCCUCAGGCUGUGAUGAACGAAGGGAGGACACUUUGAUGCCUAGUAGAAACUAAUAACAUAAAUGCCCUUUUAUUCCAUGUAUAAAUAAUGAAACAGAAAACCAGCAAACAGAGCCAACACCGUGUUUUCUUUCCAGUCAUUCUUAAUAUGCCUUGGAAAGCAACUUUGCCACUCACCCCACGGUGAUAUCAAAUAUGUUACUGCCCACAGAGCUGGACACAGCCAUGUCUCCCAGGCCUUUCCGAGCGACAAUCACACUGGUGAUGAGGUCAGGAAUGGACGUGCCUGCUGCUAGGAUCGUCAAACCCAUGAUCUCUUCUGAAAUCCCUAUUGUUUCACCAACCUGGUAAAAAGUAACAGCGAUGAUAAGCUAUGGCAACAGCAAAAGGAAAAAUCUGAAGCUCUUCAAAGCACCAACCACAUGCUACUUUGUGCAAACCCAACACUUUUCUGGAGAGCUCAGCAUACUCCUGCAGCCUCGGAGGGAGGGUAUGGUGAACCGACAGCUGGGGAGAUGGGCCACAGAGAGAAGGAGCAGGGCCCCUGCUCAAGGCUGCAGGGAAUGACGCAGCUCCUUUCUGGAGUACACGUCUCUCCCUGAUACCAGCUGUCACUGAUAUUCCAGCUAUAACACCUGCACCUUCUCAGAACUGCCCCUCCGAACACCUGUUCGUGUCACGUUUCCAUCUCCAGAACCACGGACACCUGCUAUGUGCCAGUUAGAGGCUGGAGAUAGAAGUAUGGGCACCACAACACUGCCCCUACCCUCAGCCUACUGAAAGAAAAAAGCUCAUGAACAACAAUUACAGGUAGAACAGGAAAGCAAUGGGCACUCAGAGGAAGACUCACUGGAUGCCAGAGACAAGGCAAAAUUGAGCUUGCUCUCGCAAGUGUGUCCAACAUCGCCAGGUGGGGAGGAGCAGGGCAUCCAUGACAGAGAAAGCCUGGAGUAAGGCUAAUAAGCAAUGGUCAGUUGGGUCAGACUGUGAAGGGCCUUCUAUGUGAGGCUACAGCAUGAACAUUAAGACAGAAGAGCCGCACUUGAAAACACUACACUCACUGGAAGAAAAAAGGCAACUUUGACCCUUCGUAAACAAUCUAGAAACUACAAAGUCACUUGAGCCUCACCGUUCCCUGGGUACUGGCCAUUGACCCUGAAGGUAAAAAUUGUCCUUGGGCCCCGCUGACGUUGGAUAUAGUUCCUGCUGUUCACUCACCUGGUGAGCCCACCAGACCAUGAGGUAUGAGAAAAUGGCUAUCCACACGAUGGAUCCCAGGAAGGUGAUAACAAAAAACUUCCUAGACUCCUAUUUGCAAGUUUGAAAAGGAAGAGAAAUAAGUUGCAGAUGCUAAAGGUCAUUGGCCCUUCUGAGGGAGCCCCAGAAUCAGGGACGGGAUCUGCUGAGUGAGUGAUGGAGAGGAUCUGGGGAUGUGUCAGCUGAGGUCUGGAUCUCCAGUGAGGACCCUGGGAUGGUGGCCUGCAGGGGAGUCCAGCCAGCAGGGCAUUCAGCAGUCACCAAACUGAAGAGGACUGUUUGCUUGCCCUAGAGCCAGACUUGCCUAGGUGUUUGGUUUGGUAUCUGCCACCUCCCCCCUACCCCACCCAUCUCUGGACCUAGAGACAGCGUAUGGAUGGCCUUUGGGUAGGGUAUGUUAGCGCUUUCCCUAUAAAUGAGAAUAGUGGGUAGAAACAGUACUUUCCCCCUAGGUUUUCAGAAUAUCCCUAGAAAUACAGGGGCGGAGUGGGGGCGUCUUGGCAUCAUUCCCAUAUUAAAAUCGAGAAACUGAGAAUAGGAGUUGAGGGACCAGAUCACAUGCUUAUAGUGAUGGAAAUAAGCAUGUCUUAGGGCCUCCCAAGCCCACCGGUAUGUCCCCACAGGUGCAUGGUCCCAUCUGGAGCUACAAGUUGCAUCUCAGAUACUCUCUGUGGUUGAGCCCUGCCAAGCUGGUUUGCCCUGUCUUCUCACUUCUUGAGCGGGAGUGCCUAGAGACUCCACAGAUUCCCUGGGGUACAGCUGGGCAAACUCACCAGCCUCCGGACAUCAGGCACCGUCAACCACAGUGGGAACACAAUGGGCAGGAGGAAGAGCACGUGACCCGUGGCCGCACAUUCUCGUGUGCAUAUAUCGCACUCACACUAAGGUGUUAACGGUGAAUUAACUGGCCCCAUGAGGUAUUAUUUGAUCUUCAGAGAAAGGGCCAUACUUACUUCAGAGGAAUGAACCUCAAGCAGCAUUUCAGACCUUCAAGAAGGAAGACUCUUUGGUCAGCAACUCCUUCCCUGGGCCUGUUCAAUCCCCUCCACCUGGGAAGAGGCUCGUGCCUACCUGACUGCCAGGAUCUUCCUCCUGAUCUCCCUCAACAUCUGGAGCAGGGGCUGGUGUGACCGUGACCGCAGGAAGCUUGGCUGACUCCUCCUCUUUAAAGGACAAACAUGGAAAAGAUCAGAAGAGUGUGCCAGUUUUUGAGGGCAGCUGGCAGAGCCAGUGUGAGGGGCUACAGGACGCGUCCACCCCAGGGUCUCAGUAAGUUUGGGGAAUUUCUUGUUGUUAGGAAAAGUAACAUGAUGUGAUAGGAAUUAUUGUUGCCCUGUCCACAGAGAUAGCUGCAGGUAGGACAGCCAGGAGGUGGCCAUCCUUGCUCCCCCUGUAUUCACACAUAUUUCCAUCCCGACCAGUGGGGCCAGGGAUCCAACCUAUAAAAAGCUUGGGCAACUGGGACCAAAGAGAGGGCAAAGCCCCAGCCCUCAGGGUCUGACCCUGCCCCCUACCGCCUACAUGGAGAGGAUCCUGAUGACUUCAAAGGCAGCACAGCAGUUUGGAAGCCUUGAAAUAGGUGGCAGGGAAGGGAGACUCAGAAAGCCUGGAGAGCCGGGUUUAGGAGCAGACCCUCUCACUUCUUCAGACGAGUCAGUUGACCUCUCAGCCUGGGUUUCCUCGUCUAUUGUAUGGAAAAAAUGGCUGCCGCUCUCCCUCCUUCCGCAGGUCGCUGGGUGCAUGGGGCAGGCCCGGUGUGCUGUGCAGAACCCACAGGGGCAGGAGCUUCCUCAUUCCCUCCAUCCCAGGUGCCACAUGGAUGCUGGACUUCUGCAUCACCAGACCCCUGGUGUCCUUCCCUCCUGGGGUUGCUGGUCUCAGACCAAUCCCUAAGAGCACUGUCCUUUUGUAGAAGUGACAGGAAGAAGAAACAGAGGUCCCAUGGAGUCUCAUUUGGGAUGAGAUUUAGUGAAAAAGAAACGGGCCUUCAAUAACUCCCUAGCCUGGCCUGGCCUGGCCCAUCAGAGGAGAGUGCGGAGGGGCUGUCCAGAGCCUCCCCAGGGCCAGCAGCCCAGUCAGAAAGGGAGCAUACGGGAAGGAGGAGGCUAGAGUGCAGUGGCACUCAGGGCAGCACCAGACUAUAUCACUCCAGCUGACUGGCCCAGACAGGCCGAGAGGCACAUCUCAGCCCCUGGCCAACAGGAGGGAGGAAGGUAGCAUGAGGAAACCCACCAGUUUCACCAUCCUCUCACCUGGUUUGUUCUCUGCAUUAGCAUGAGGCUUGGCUUUGGUCUCCUGAUUCAAGCUCUCCUCCUCCUUAUCCUUGGAGGGAUGGGCUGCAAAUGAGAAAGGGGAACACAUCUUAUCUGAGGCCCUUCAGUUACACUGGUCAGCUGAGCAACCAGAGCAGCUGAAGUGGGUGGGAAGAGGCUGGCCUGGAAGUCAUGGUCUGGGUUCCGGUCCUACUCCGCAUGUUCCUGCUGCCCGCUCCCGAGCUUUCGCCUUAAAUUCCCUGUAUGUUACUAACUGGCUGUGACCUUAGGCAAGUCAUGUCCCCUCUCUGAUCCUAUUUCCCCUCUGGUAAGAUGACAUGGUUGGACUCAGAGGCAACAAACAGGAUUUAUUUUCUUUACGAGCUCGAAUGAUGGCUGUUUUGAGUGCUGGAUUGAGGAGGAUUCUGAUCCAAGGAUAGUGGAGGUUUUACCGUGAUUUAUUGGUGAUGUCUGCAAUGAGCAGGGAACGGACGAAAAAUGGCAGGGAGACAUUUUUGCCAUCCUCGGACUGGAUUAUCUGUAAGGUCCUUUGUAGCUUGCUUUCUUCAAUGAGUUUACCAGAAGCUCUGCUAUAGCUCCAGGAGCACUACUGGUGAGACUUUCUUCUCUGGUCAGAAAGGGGAAAUAGCCUACCACCAACCUCCCUGCCACACCAUUUUGACCCUAGGUACCCGGAGCCUCCUUUCGGAUCUCUAUGAACACACUUUGCCAGAGGCCCAAAGAGAACUACGGACAGAAUAGUGCUGCUCUGAUUUCCAGGCAAGAAAACUAGGGAGUGCAAUCUUUUUCAAUGUGAUGAUGCUCCAGGCAACAUGCAAAGUUUACAUGUGUAAUUCAAGGUGGGAGGCACAGAGACAGGUGCAGGGGCUCCUGCGGGUCCUCACAGCUGUGUAACCUGGGAGGGUAAGGACAACGGCACAAGCGAGAAAAAAAAGUGGCACCAUGGAAUCUGUUCUGGAGUCCAGGCUGGCUCUCCCCUGUGAGCGCUGGGUGACCCUGGGAAGCCUGUGUGCCCUCUCUAAGCCUCAGCGUCCCCCUCUAAAAAGGCAACAUCAUGACACACUGAGAGCACUGAUGUGGGGGUCCGUGAGACAAAAAUAAAUAAAAAGGCUUUAAUGCUA